UACGAAGGGGGCUAGCGUUGCUCGGAAUGACUGGGCGUAAAGGGCGCGUAGGCGGAUUGCACAGUCAGAUGUGAAAUUCCCGGGCUUAACCUGGGGGCUGCAUUUGAUACGUGUGAUCUAGAGUGAGGAAGAGGGUCGUGGAAUUCCCAGUGUAGAGGUGAAAUUCGUAGAUAUCGGGAGGAACACCAGUGGCGAAGGCGGCGACCUGGGCAGAUACUGACGCUGAGGUGCGAAAGCGUGGGGAGCAAACAGG
rnacentral:rRNA from 1 species